UUGGGCAUUUGAACAUAACUCACAACAGACAGUUUUGGACGACAGACAUUGUCUAAGGUCUUCCUGACAGACACGCCAUGGAAAGAAUCCUGCUCGGAGUGAUUGUGGUCUCUGGCACUGUGCCUCUAACAGCCGCAGAGUGUCACUGUUAUACCACGGAUGCCUGCACUGUGUUCCCCUCCGCUCCCUGCAGCCAGGUCGGCAAUCCGGACAGUUGUCAGGUGGGAUGGUUUGGUGCGUACUGUC